UACGUAGGGCGCAAGCGUUAUCCGGAAUCAUUGGGUUUAAAGGGUCCGUAGGCGGUUUGGUAAGUCAGUGGUGAAAGCCCAUCGCUCAACGGUGGAACGGCCAUUGAUACUGCCAGACUUGAAUUAUUAGGAAGUAACUAGAAUAUGUAGUGUAGCGGUGAAAUGCUUAGAGAUUACAUGGAAUACCAAUUGCGAAGGCAGGUUACUACUAAUGGAUUGACGCUGAUGGACGAAAGCGUGGGUAGCGAACAGG
rnacentral:rRNA from 1 species